UACGUAGGGUGCAAGCGUUAUCCGGAAUUAUUGGGCGUAAAGAGCUCGUAGGCGGUUUGUCGCGUCUGCUGUGAAAACUGGAGGCUCAACCUCCAGCCUGCAGUGGGUACGGGCAAACUAGAGUGCGGUAGGGGAGAUUGGAAUUCCUGGUGUAGCGGUGGAAUGCGCAGAUAUCAUGAGGAACACCGAUGGCGAAGGCAGAUCUCUGGGCCGUAACUGGCGCUGAGGAGCGAAAACAUGGGGAGCGAACAGG
rnacentral:rRNA from 1 species